rnacentral:snRNA from 1 species
AAACCUACCUGGCAGUGGAGAUACCAUUAUCACGAAGGUAGCUUUCCUGGGGUGAGGCUUACCCACUACACCCCUGCGAUUUCCCCAAAUGUGGGAAACUCGACUGUAUAAUUUGUGGUAGUGGGGGACUGUGAUUGUUGAUGUUCUUCC